CAAGCAAGCCUAUCCAUUUACCUUUACUUAACAAAUUUAUCAUAUCAUGCAUACACACACACACCUUUUUCCGGGUGUGAACAUAGUCAAAACACAAUGGCAUUAUCGAUAAUAAUAUACAUGCACUAUACCAAUCAUGUAUUUAGCAAUUUACAUUGCAUACACAUAUUCACAUUGUUAGAUUGUAUUCACAAUACAAAAGGACCCAUGACUUCCAGCG
rnacentral:lncRNA from 1 species